CUGCUGGUUUGGAGGCUCUCCUUUUAUAGCUGAAGAAUUCCAUCCAUCUAGGGUUUCAAAAUCCCUUUUUGAUUUGGUGUUUGACUCAUCUUUUGAUGUUGAAUUUAAUUGCAAUUGGAAUUUCUUGGAUGAGAAGCUCUUUCGUGGCUCUUGGUUUUAUGUUGGUAGUGAUUGGGUUGGAAUUGGACUUCUGAAAAUUCGGAUUUCUGUUUUCUGCCCAAUUUCCCGCUCUUCUGUCAGUUUCUGCUGUCAAAGUGAUUUGUCCGGUGAUUUGAGUGUUUUGGGCAAAUC
rnacentral:lncRNA from 1 species